rnacentral:lncRNA from 1 species
GCUUUCUUCUGUGCAUAGAAUUUCUCCAGAAAGAUUGCUGCAGGGAUAACAACCACAGUGGAGACAGAGCAGCUCAAGAUUGAAAUAGAGAAGAAAACCACUGACACUGCUAUAGAAAUUUCUCUUUCACUUCACCAUGAUGUGGGAGGACUGAUGGACAUUGUUCCACGUGUACUAGAGGUUGCUUGCAGUGGAGAAUCUGCUAACAAACAACUUUCUGGCCUUUGCAAUGGUGCAAUUGCAUUCCAUCAUUUUGAGACUCCAGCAAGAGUUUCACUGAAUGGGUCAAUAUUUACCAGCAACUUUACUCUCAUCCUCUUUGGACACAUUUCUUUUCAUGACGUAUUUGCCUGCCUACAACUCUAUGCCACCAGUAACACCCAUCCUCAUUUAGAAAUCGACUUCCAGCAUUCUUUGCCUUCACUUCAUUCUCUGGGAAUUGCCAGAGAGAACCAACUGAAGGUGUCAGCCAUGAGAAGUGACAAGUACAAGGGCAUCCUUGGUAUUGUCCUCGGGCCUUGCACUUUGGAAGCUGAUGGGGAAGUGAGCCUGGCAGGCAAUGAGACAGGAUGGGUACUUGCUUUUAGAAACAAGUGCGUCAGUCUAGAGAGGAUGGGAUUGCCUCGUGCUGCAGUCUUGGGGGGCUCAUUUCAGCAGAACAUCUGCAACGUGGGCUUGUUAAUGAAGCUGCAGUGUGAUGGCAGAGCAGUGGAUGUGCAGAUAGACACCUCCUGCCAGCAUGAAUACACACUCCAAGGGAUGCUCAGGCAUUCGUUUCCCUGGCUCAGCCAGCUUGGGCUGCCUUUUGAAAACUCAAUCCUGUUCUCUGCAGCCACAGACUCCACCACAGAGGGCAUUUUCCUGCUGCAGGCUGGCAGAUGCAGACUGAGGGCUAGAGGGGACCUCUGCAUUCAGAAUAAAGCUGACUGGACACUGGAAACAGAAACAGAAUGCCAACUUCUGCAGGAUCUCAGUUUCCCAACUCAGUCCCGGCUCACAGGAUCCAUCCAGAAGGACAAGUGCCAGGCAGAGCUGCUCUCUGUCCUGGAAACAGGAGGCAAAACUGCCCGGCUUGAAGUGAGAGCAGAGUGCAAGCCAAAGCUGGCUCUGGAAAUUCAGUUCAGGCAUGACCUCCCCCAGCUGAGGGAAAUCCCAAGGGAAAAUGAGCUGUCCAUCACUGCACGGAAACACCUCAGAUAUGUCAUUGGAGUGGGAAUGAAACUGGGGGCCUGUGAGCUUCAAAUGAAUGGGGACUUUGAUCCUGAGAAGAACCGGCAGUGGAAAAUGCUUAUAGAAAACAAAUGCCAAACAAUUCAGGAUCUUGGAGCACCAAUGAAAAUUGAUGGCUCAGGCUAUCUUUUGAUGGAUGAAAUGAACCUAGAUUCACAGACACUGAUCACUGUUGAUGAAAGUAAAUUCCGAGGACUCUUUAUACUAAAAGUCACUGAUGUGAGUACCCUGCAGGCUGUUGGAGUGUGUGAACAAAGUACUCAGUAAUGUACUCUAACAUAU